GACGAACGCUGGCGGCGCGCUUAACACAUGCAAGUCGAGCGGAAAGGCCUGCUUUCCCUUGUGGAUUGCGGGUACUCGAGUGGCGAACGGGUGAGUAACACGUGAGUGAUCUGCCCCCAACUUGGGUAUAAGCCUGGGAAACUGGGUCUAAUUCCCGAUAGGACUGCAGGGUGGUGCCUGUGGUGGAAAACGAUUUUCUAGUGGUUGGGGAUGAGCUCGCGGCCUAUCAGCUUGUUGGUGGGGUAAUGGCCUACCAAGGCGGCGACGGGUAGCCGGCCUGAGAGGGUGGACGGCCACAUUGGGACUGAGAUACGGCCCAGACUCCUACGGGAGGCAGCAGUGGGGAAUAUUGCACAAUGGGCGGAAGCCUGAUGCAGCGACGCCGCGUGGGGGAUGACGGCCUUCGGGUUGUAAACUCCUUUCGACCGCGAGGAAGCCACCUGGUUGGAAGGGUGGUGACGGUAGUGGUAGAAGAAGCACCGGCUAACUACGUG
rnacentral:rRNA from 1 species